rnacentral:rRNA from 1 species
AUUGAACGCUGGCGGCAUGCCUUACACAUGCAAGUCGAACGGUAACAGGUCUUCGGAUGCUGACGAGUGGCGAACGGGUGAGUAAUACAUCGGAACGUGCCCGAGAGUGGGGGGUAACGAGGCGAAAGCUUUGCUAAUACCGCAUACGAUCUCAGGAUGAAAGCAGGGGACCGCAAGGCCUUGCGCUCACGGAGCGGCCGAUGGCAGAUUAGGUAGUUGGUGGGAUAAAAGCUUACCAAGCCGACGAUCUGUAGCUGGUCUGAGAGGACGACCAGCCACACUGGGACGGAGACACGGCCCAGACUCCUACGGGAGGCAGCAGUGGGGAAUUUUGGACAAUGGGCGAAAGCCUGAUCCAGCCAUGCCGCGUGCAGGAUGAAGGCCUUCGGGUUGUAAACUGCUUUUGUACGGAACGAAAAGACUCUGGUUAAUACCUGGGGUCCAUGACGGUACCGUAAGAAUAAGCACCGGCUAACUACGUGCCAGCCGCCGCCGUAAAAC